GAACGCUGGCGGCGUGCUUAACACAUGCAAGUCGAACGGAAAGGCCCUGCUUUUGUGGGGUGCUCGAGUGGCGAACGGGUGAGUAACACGUGAGUAACCUGCCCUUGACUUUGGGAUAACUUCAGGAAACUGGGGCUAAUACCGGAUAGGAGCUCCUGCUGCAUGGUGGGGGUUGGAAAGUUUCGGCGGUUGGGGAUGGACUCGCGGCUUAUCAGCUUGUUGGUGGGGUAGUGGCUUACCAAGGCUUUGACGGGUAGCCGGCCUGAGAGGGUGACCGGCCACAUUGGGACUGAGAUACGGCCCAGACUCCUACGGGAGGCAGCAGUGGGGAAUAUUGCACAAUGGGCGGAAGCCUGAUGCAGCAACGCCGCGUGCGGGAUGACGGCCCUCGGGUUGUAAACCGCUUUCGCCUGUGACGAAGCGUGAGUGACGGUAAUGGGUAAAGAAGCACCGGCUAACUACGUG
rnacentral:rRNA from 1 species